GUCUAUAGGAAAUGCCAACACAUUUACAGUCUAGUUUGAUGUGUUUCCUAAUAUCCUUUCAGGUGGUAUUACUAUCAUCCAGUGAUCCACAUAACAUGAGGAUGAACCCUGCUAUUCUCCACUCAGGUGGAGAGAGAAAGAUGAUUAAACGAUAAGAUCCUGCGUUUUUGGUAAUGUAGGAAAACCAUGUCAAAUGAACGUUCAGAAGAAUAACCAAAGGCACAAUGGCAACCACUAAACAGACUGCUGUGAACUAUGUCUCAGAUCGCAGACUGGACCUUAUCAGAUUGCUCAAGGAUCUGACACUUAUUGUUGACAACCUUCAGCAGCAGAGAAUUUUCCUCAAUGAGGAAGUGGAAGUUAUUAAUAGUAAGGAGACAAGAAGUGACAAAGCCAGAGAAAUACUGGACAGAGUCGUUAAAAAGGGAGAAGCUGCAUGUUACAAGUUACUGGAGAUUCUGUACAUUACGAGACAGAGGACAUUACUGCAGCCUUCCUCUGAUUCAAAGGACAGACGGCAGCAUGACCUGUACCACUGGAUCAGCUGCUUCCCAUUCAAGGAAGACCAAGAGGUGGACACUGACAUCCUUGAAGGCUCAAUAGCCUGUCACAGAUAUCAGACACAGCUGAAAUGUAAAGCACGGAAGAUCACAGAGGGUGCAUGGAAACAAAGCUGUAGUCUCCUACCAGAGAGAUGUAGAACUGAGGGGACUUUCUCUUAUACCCCUGUUGUGUUAGAUACAGACGUGCAUUCAU